UACGUAGGGUGCAAGCGUUAAUCGGAAUUACUGGGCGUAAAGCGUACGCAGGCGGCUAUGUAAGACAGGUGUGAAAUCCCCGGGCUUAACCUGGGAAUGGCAUUGGUGACUGCACGGCUAGAGUGUGUCAGAGGGGGGUAGAAUUCCACGUGUAGCAGUGAAAUGCGUAGAGAUGUGGAGGAAUACCGAUGGCGAAGGCAGCCCCCCUGGGAUAACACUGACGCUCAUGCACGAAAGCGUGGGGGAGCAAACAGG
rnacentral:rRNA from 1 species